rnacentral:rRNA from 1 species
CUCUUUGAACCUCAGCGGCGGACGGGUGAGUAACACGUGGGUAACCCUGCCCCUGAGAGGGGGAUAACAGGUCGAAAGGCCUGCUAAUACCGCAUAACGCUAAGAAGCUGCAUGGCGUCUUAGCCAUAGGUUAAUUCCGCUCAAGGAUGGGCCCGCGGCCCAUUAGCUAGUUGGUGAGGUAAUGGCUUCACCAAGGGCGACGAUGGGGUAGCCCGGGCCUGAGAGGGGGUGGGUCGGCCCACACUGGGGAACUGAGAACACGGCCCCAGAACUUCCUACGGGAGGCAGCAGUGGGGAAUAUUUGCGCAAUGGGGGGGAAAACCCCUUGACGCAGCGACGCCCGCGUGAGCGAAAGAGAGAGCCCUUUCGGGUUUGUAAAAGCUCUGUCUUUCCCUGACGAAGAAAGUGACGGUAAGGGGAAGGGAGGGAAGCCCACGGCUAACUACGUGCCAGCAGCCGCGGUAAUACCGUAGGUGGGCGAGCCGUUGUCCGGAAUUACUGGGCGUAAAGGGUGCGUAGGCGGCUCCUUAAGUGAGGUGUGAAAUCCCUGGGCUCAACCCAGGAACUGCACUUCAAACUGGGGAGCUAGAGUGCAGGAGAGGAAAGCGGAAUUCCCGGUGUAGCGGUGAAAUGCGUAGAGAUCGGGAGGAACACCAGUGGCGAAGGCGGCUUUCUGGACUGUAACUGACGCUGAGGCACGAAAGCGUGGGGAGCAAACAGGAUUAGAUACCCUGGUAGUCCACGCUGUAAACGAUGAGUGCUAGGUGUGGGAGGCGUAGCCUUCCGUGCCGCAGUUAACACAUUAAGCACUCCGCCUGGGGAGUACGGUCGCAAGAUU